rnacentral:rRNA from 1 species
CGGGCGCGGCGCCGGUCUAAGUUCGUUGGAACAAGGCAUCAUAGAGGGUGAGAAUCCCGUAUGUGACCGGCGAUCCAAGUCCAUGUGAAGCUCCUUCGACGAGUCGAGUUGUUUGGGAAUGCAGCUCAAAAUGGGUGGUAAAUUUCAUCUAAAGCUAAAUACCGGCCAGAGACCGAUAGCGCACAAGUAGAGUGAUCGAAAGAUGAAAAGCACUUUGGAAAGAGAGUUAAAAAGUACGUGAAAUUGUUGAAAGGGAAGCGCUUGCAACCAGACCUGCGCGCGGGCGAUCAGCCGUCCUUCUGGGCGGUGCACGCGCCCGCGAACAGGCCAGCAUCGGUUCUGGCGGCCGGAUAAAGACCCUGGGAAUGUAGCUCCGUUCGCGGAGUGUUAUAGCCCGAGGUGGCAUGCGGCCAGCGAGAAUCGAGGACCGCGCUUCGGCAAGGAUGCUGGCGUAAUGGUUGUAAGCGGCCCGUCUUGAAACACGGACCAAGGAGUGGAACAUCUAUGCGAGUGUUUGGGUGUCAAACCCAUGCGCGGAAUGAAAGUGAACGGAGGUGGGAACCCGCCCAGGGCGCACCAUCGACCGAUCCAGAUGUCAUCGGAUGGAUUUGAGUACGAGCAUAGCUGUUCCGACCCGAAAGAUGGUGAACUAUGCCUGAAUAGGGUGAAGCCAGAGGAAACUCUGGUGGAGGCUCGCAGCGGUUCUGACGUGCAAAUCGAUCGUCAAAUUUAGGUAUAGGGGCGAAAGACUAAUCGAACCAUC